GUAAGGUUCGUUUCAACCUGGUUCUCUCUGUGAUGGCUUCUCGGCCUACACAGCCCAUUCAGGUGCCAUGGACUCAUGCUUGCGGCCGCCUUUCCCUGGAAAAUCUUGUUCUUGGGAAGGAGCUGGUGACCUAACUCAUGCUGAGACCCAGUCGUUGUGGGAGUGUGACCACUCAGGAUUUCAAAGCCCGUUGCAGUAACCAAAUUCUCCACAAAACCAAAAAGAAUGGAGAAGCUGGCCUCCUGAACCAUUACUUGAGGAAGCCCGGCAGCCAACAAACCUUUGCCACUGGCUGGAUGAGGAAGAAGUUGAGAGUGUACCCAAGGUAUGGGAUGUUCUAGCCUGCAGGGCCCAUUGACUGCGUCCUCUGCACUGCCUAACCCAGUCCUCCCUGGCAAAGCCUCUACAUCUGCACUGGAGAAGCCACCUGGGCAGAGUGACCAGCAAGCUCCAUAAAGGUCCAGUAUGCCACCUGGGCCAGGCUUCAGGCCAUAGGUGCUCUCAUCAUCACUACCCAGGAAAAUGGCCCUUCCUGAAGAGAACUUGGUGCUCUGGGGGAAUCCUGGAGAUUCUGGGACAGAGAAGGCCACCUUCCAUCUGUGGGACCUAUAAAAUCCCACUGGAAGAGCCAGCCAGGACAAGGGUAUGUCCUGGGGAGUGACACAGAUGUGGGGUUCUAGCCCUCCCUAGGGCUGCAGUUCCUUCAUCUUGACCAGGUGGGGUCAAGCCUGUCUCUCAUGCUAUGGUGUGUGUUCCCUCAGUCAGCCUCUAAGAAAGGGAGAAUGGGCUGAAGGAGAAGAGAGGCAGAGAAGCUGAGGAGGGGAACAAGAUCUUACCUGUGAGUCUAGCCAAGGUUGGGCAGUGCAGGGGCUCCUUUGGGGUCCAUUGCAGGGGGCAACAGCAGGAUUUGAUGGCCCCUCCUCGCCAUGUACUGCUCUCUGUUGCCUCUGGCUAGGCACUGGCCUUAUACAGCAGCUGACCUGAAACCUAAUGCUGAGAAGCUAGUUGACAGUCUGGCCAC